rnacentral:tRNA from 1 species
GGGCCAUGGCCUAAUGGUGGAGCGUCUGCUCAACAUUCAGACCGUCCCAGGUUCAAUCCCUGGCACCCCCA